rnacentral:lncRNA from 1 species
AUAUAUCAACUGUAAAUAUAUAUGCAUUCAGUAUUGGAGCAUCUAAAUAUAUCAAACAAAUAUUAGCUUUGAACAUAAUAGAUCUUAAGAAGAAAGAGCAUAUCAUAAUAGUAGGCAACUUCACUACUCCACUGUCAACAACAGAUUGCUCAAUCAGACAUAAAUUCAAGAAGGAAACUGCAGACUUGAAUGGCAGGAGCAACAGCAAUAAGGAAUAUUAGGUGAAAAUUCCAGGGAGGUGACUAAUAACUUGAGGUGUGUAGACUAAGGUGAUUGCGAGUAGCUUGGCAUUGCUAGUGGGCAAAUUUUUAGCAAAGAAGCAGAAGGAGAUAAAAGCUGGGAGGUACAGGGGCUUUUUGUGUGAUGCCAAGGGGUUUGGGGUUCAUUCUACAGCUAUGUGGGAAACCAUGAAGGUUCUUAAACAGUGGCAGAAUGUGAUCAGACUUGUGUGUGGAAAAACGACUCAGAUGAUUGGAUAAGUGGCUGAGUGUAUGAAGACCUGAAAGAAUAAGAAAGCAAAAGCCACAGGCCAGGCAGGCAGUGCUGACUACUGGGACAUCAGAGAUAAGAUAAUGGAAAAUGGAUUUAGGUAAAACUGAAUGGCUUACUGAAUAUGAAGAGUGAAUUUGUGUUCUAUUUUUUCUAUUGUUGCAUAUCAACUUUGCCACAAACAUAGUGACUUAAAAUACACACACACACACACACACACACACACACAUAUACGCACUUAUUAUCUUCUUAGUUUUUAUAGGUCAGUAACUCAUGCCCACCUAAACUAGAUCCUCUGCAAAGGUCUUGCAAGGCUUCAAUGAAGAUGUGGUUCCAGGCUGUGGUCUCAUCUGAGGUUCAAUUGGUAAAGGAACUUCUUCCAAAUUCACUUAGGUUGUUGGAAGAAUCCACUUCCUUUUAGCUGUAAGAUCAAGAGCUUCAGGUUCUUGAUCAUCAGCCAGAGGCUGCCUUUAGUUCUAUACCACAUGGGGUUCCCCAGCAUGCCCUCUUGCUUUCUCCAAGCCCACAAAGGAGAGAGAGACUCAAGCCAGACAGGAACUACACAUAAACUCAGGCAGCCCAUCACUUUUGCAAUAUUCUAUUGCUUGGAAGUAAGUUUUCAUCCUGUUCACAUUCAAGGAGACAGGAGAGGUGGACAUAUGGGGGUGUGAACACCAGGAUGGGGAUGGUGGCAGCCCUUUGAAGAGUGUGUUGGGCACAAAGAACAGACUGUGC